rnacentral:lncRNA from 1 species
UGGCAGCUGAGAUUUUCUGCUCCCUAACUUUUGGGGAGCGGGAAGACCCGGUUGGACCCAUUCCUCUUUGGUGAGUCUGGCCGCGUGUGCGCAAGCGCAAAAAGAGAGGCCAGGCAGGGGUGGUGUCCUGGGUUGUAAAAGUGUGUGGUCUGCGGAGGGGGCAGUCCGCUAGUCGAGGCGCGGGAAUCUCCACGCCCCUCCCCCCAGGCCUUGGGGAAUAUAGAUCCAUUAGUGAGUCAACCAGUAGACACUUUUUAGGAACCUGCUGUGUGCCAGGCUCUGGUCAGAGGCGGCUUCCAGUCUAAAGAAAAAAAGCAGGCAGGGCUAGGAGGGGAAAUGGAGGUGGGACAAUUUGUGUGCAGCCCUUCCCCCACCGGGGCUCAGCCCAGAGACCAGGAAAGGAGAACACCAUUUCCCAGAACGCCUGGCUUCUGACAUCGCCACGUCUCGGCACCGCCCCCUCCGACACCCAGGAAGCAUGCCGGAAAUCUCACGUGGUUAGUCUCGGCUCCCAGAAGGUGCACCAAUGGGGUUCCGCGACCAUUUCCGGGUGAGAGGAGACGAGGAAGGAGCCCGGAACCCCAGUGGGUCAAUAGCACUCAAGGAUGUGACUGUGGACUUCACCCAGGAGGAGUGGGGCCUGUUGGACCAUUCUCAGAAAGAGCUGUGCCUGGAGGUCAUGCUGGAGAAUGUGCAGAAUCUACUCUCUGUGGGUAAGGACCAUUUCCUCUGUUAACCCUGAAUCUUUCAUUAAGAGAAUGUCUUCAUUCCAAGCCAAAUGUAUAGCAUUUUGAGCCUUUGUCAAUGAUUAAAAAAGAAAAAAUACUGAUCUUUUUCCUGGGUUCUACUUUUCAUUUUAAAAAAUUCAAAUUAGAGCAACUGGGUGGCUCAGUGUAUUGAGAGCCAGGCCCAGAGAUGGGAGGUCCUGGGUUCAAAUCUGGCCUCAGACACUUCCAAGCUGUGUGACUCUGGGCAAGUCACUUAACCCGUAUUGCCUAGCCUUUAUCACUCUUCUGCCUUGGAGCCAAUAUACAGUAUUGACUCCAAGACGGAAGGUAAGGGUUUAAAAAAAAUUCUAAUAAGAAUCCAAGUUAUUCCCUUAUUGACAAAUAGCAAAAGGUUAUGAAUAAGCAGCAGGUUCCAGAAGAAAUCAAAGCUCUCACUAAUGAUAUGGAAAAAUGUUCUGAAUCCAUCUUGAUUAGAGAAGUAAAUUAAAAGAACUCAGAGUUUCUGCCUCCUACGAGAUUGGCCAAUAUAACAGUAAAGGAAAAUGAGAAAAGUUGGUACGAACAUGGCAAAAUUGGGACUCAUAAUGCAUUGAUUGUAGAGUUGUGAACUGAUUUAUCCAUUCUGGAGAGUUAUUUGGAAUGAUU